rnacentral:lncRNA from 1 species
CAAAAUGUCCGCUCUCCAUUGGUGAGGGUUCAUAACUUGAGCCCAAUGCAAGUGAGGAGUCGGAGGACACCCCUUAAUUCUUAAGCUCCUCCAUUUUUGUGGGCAUGGAAGGAAGUAAGAGUGUGCUAGAGGUAGAAGAAAUUAUUCCCUCCAAAGACUUUGCUCUGCAUCGCCCACGCUGCCUGGGCAAGGAGGAGGAGCAUGCAAU